CUGGCUCCUUGAGCGGUACUCCAC
rnacentral:siRNA from 1 species